UGAAAUGCGAUAAUUAAUGUGAAUUGCAUUAUCUCGUGAAUCAUCGAGUCUUUGAACGCAUCUUGCACUUUUCAGGUCUCCUGAAAAGUAUACUUGUUUGAGUAUCAUAAACAUUAACUCUACUCUCUCCUUGUGAGGAGUAGGACUUGAGACGUCAGGAAGCCUUGUGCUCUCUGUGUCUUUUAAUGAAUAUGUGGCGCGAUUCUGGCUGGGUUACACCAGCUGGAAGCCUUAAAAUCAAAUGUGAGAUAAAUAUCGCACAGAGUAGUUUCAAGGUUCAAGCACUGCUACGCCUAGAGAAGCAGCAAUGCAACUCAACCUUUGAACAUUGAUCUCAAAUCAAGUAAGACUACCCGCUGAACUUAA
rnacentral:misc_RNA from 1 species